CAUAUUUUUAAAUCGUUCUAACCUCUAACUACAUUUUUAACCGUCAAUUCAAUUCAUGGUUAAUCGUGUAUGCUGAUUUAUUUCAUUCGUUUUUGGAUUUCCUUCAUCUGCAGAAUUGUGCACAUGCAACAGUGUUUAAUCUAUGCAUUAAACAAAGACUCAUAAUCAUUGUUUAAAAAGCGAAUUUAUUCUGCUUUCUUAAAACAAUUACUUAUUUUUGUGUUUAGUUUAUAAGUGGUGCUGGUGUAAAUAGUGUCGAACAAUUUAAUGUAUUUGUUUAUAUUAUUAGGCAGACGUUUUUACGUUAUAUCUGUUAUAUUAUAUUAAUCAUUUUCAAAAUCAGAAAAAUAUAAAUAACAAAGAAGUACAUCAAGACUGUGAAACGCAAUUGAAGAUAGCAAUGGAAACGUAUCGCAAUGCAAUGAAUCAACUGGAUGAUGAAGCCUUUCAAGUAGUACUCAAGGAAUUUGGAAAGCAUACAGAAAAAGUUCAAAAACAAAGUAUAAAUUUAAGAAAACAUAAAAUGGCUAAACAGGAGUAUUUCCUAUCUAAGAAAAAAUAAAAUGAUAAAGUUAACGAACGCAGAAAGGAGUACAUUAGGAUUCAAAUGUA